UACGUAGGAGGCGAGCGUUGUCCGGAGUUACUGGGCGUAAAGGGUGCGUAGGCGGUCGCGUAAGUCGGAUGUGAAAUCUCAGGGCUCAACCCUGAAACUGCAUUCGAUACUGCGUGGCUAGGGUACUGGAGAGGAGACUGGAAUUUACGGUGUAGCAGUGAAAUGCGUAGAUAUCGUAAGGAAGACCAGUGGCGAAGGCGAGUCUCUGGACAGUUACCGACGCUGAGGCACGAAGGUCAGGGGAGCAAACGGG
rnacentral:rRNA from 1 species